GGCGGACGGGUGAGUAACGCGUGAGGAACCUGCCUUUCAGAGGGGGACAACAGUUGGAAACGACUGCUAAUACCGCAUAACAUAUAGAUGUCGCAUGGCAUUUAUAUCAAAGAUUUAUCGCUGAAAGAUGGCCUCGCGUCUGAUUAGCUAGUUGGUGAGGUAACGGCCCACCAAGGCGACGAUCAGUAGCCGGACUGAGAGGUUGAACGGCCACAUUGGGACUGAGAUACGGCCCAGACUCCUACGGGAGGCAGCAGUGGGGAAUAUUGGGCAAUGGGCGCAAGCCUGACCCAGCAACGCCGCGUGAAGGAAGAAGGCUUUCGGGUUGUAAACUUCUUUUGUCAGGGACGAG
rnacentral:rRNA from 1 species